UAGAGAGCAGGGCUGGCUCUGGGUCUGCACAAGGGUAAAUUUGGACAUAGAAAAUUAACACCAUGUGAAGGUGAAGGCAGAGACUGGGUGAUGCUUCUAUAAACCAAGAAACUCCAAGGACUGUCAGCAAACCAGCAGAAGCUAGGAGAGAGGCAUGGAACGGAUUUCUCCUCACAGCCCUCAGAAGAAACCAACCCUGUCACCAUUUUGAUCUUGGACUUUAGCCUCUGGAACUGUGAGACAAUACAUUUCUGUUUGUUUCAGCCACCUAGUUCAUAGUACUUUGAAGUGACCUUUACACCACUCUCACUUAGAGAUGAGGUCUGUGUCCCCUCCUCUUGAAAUUGAGUGGCUUUUGUGACUGUGUACACAGGUAGAGUAAACUGCAGAGCUGCCUGUCUGUGACUUCCAAGGCUAGGUCAUAAAAGGAGAUAAAGCUUCUUCCUGGCUGGUUGGGCUGCUUGCUCUUGAAGCCUUCAGUCUCUAUGCACGCAGCAUGCCUUCCCAGCCUCCUGUGGUUGUAGAGUGUAUAGAAGGCAGUUGGAUCACUAUGGACAGCGGGUAAGAGCUGAGGAAGCAGCCUCCGCCAGGUGGUAACAUGGAGGACCCUGAAGGGUAGGCCAUGGGAAUGAGCUCUCGAUGCUUCUCUACAAUCAUGAGUAAAAGUCAGGCUUCUCCAUGGAGCAGAACUAGCUUGGACACUAGCCUGAUGAGCAGAUAUCUCAGGAAUUACAUGGGACAGAGAAGAUGAGGUCCCAGUGAGCAUUGUUUCCCCAAAGCCUGGAGUCAGAAAGCCCCAUGGGAUGGGAAGAAGAGGGAGUGUGUCUUCAACCUGAGAUAUUCCUGAGUCACCUUAGAUUGGCAGCCCGACACAGAUAGGCUUGGAGCAAAGAGCAAGGACUGAGGGAUGGAUGAGUCAGAGGGAAGGGGUCUGGACCAAUGCCUCCAUUGUGAACUGUGAGGCUCUUGCAUAUUGGGAGCUCUCUGAAGGCAGCAGUGUCUCCAGCAUCACACCAAGAGCAACUGAGGCUAGGCUUGUGUCUCUACCCUCUCCCUUCUAAGUGAGGGAAGUCUUUGGUUUUCUGUGUGUCUCCCCGCAAUGCCCAGAAUAGGGAUUGAUGCAGAGGGUGAUGUUGUCUGAAUGCAAUCGAGUGACUUUGCUUUCCUGUCUUAGCCAUUUCAUACUGCUAUCACAAAACACCACAGAGCAUGGAUGGAUCUGUAGGCCAUUAUCCUUAGCAAACUAACACAGGAACAGAAAACCAAAUACUGCAUGUUCUCACUUAUAAGUGGGAGCUAAAUAAUGAGAACUCAUGGGCACAAAAAGGGGAACAAUAGACACUGGGACCUACUACUUGAGGGUGGAGGGUAGGAGGAGAGAGAUGGUCAGAAAAAUUAACUAUUGGGUACUAAGUUUAGUACCCGAGUGAUGAAAUUAUCUGUAAACCAAACCCUUUUGACACGAGUUUACCUAUAUAACAAACCUGCAAAUGUACUGUGAACCUAAAGUAAAGUUAAAAUCCCACAGACUGCAUGAUUUAUAAAGAACAGGAAUGUAUUUUCUCACAGCUCUAGAGGCUGGGAAUUCCAAGAUCAAAGUUCCAGCAGGUUCAGUUUUCUGAUGAGGGCCUGGUCUCUGCUUCUAAGAUGGAACCUGGAAUGCUGCAUUCUCCAGAAGAGAGAGAUGCUGUGUCCUCACAUGGCAGAAGGCAGAGGUCAAGAGGAGCAAAUUUCAUCCAUCAAGUCCUUUUGUAGGGGCACUUAAUUCCAUUCAUGAGGGCUCCACCCUCAAGACUUAAUCACCCCCUGAAGGCCCUACCUCUUAAUAUUGUUACAUUGGUGAUUAGUUUCAAUGUCUGGAUAAUGGAGAGGCCACAUUCAAACCAUAGGAUCUCCUCUCGUUAAACAUGAACCCAGUGUCCC
rnacentral:lncRNA from 1 species